rnacentral:rRNA from 1 species
UACGUAGGGGGCAAGCGUUGUCCGGAUUUAUUGGGCGUAAAGAGCUCGUAGGCGGUUGGGCAAGUCACGUGUGAAAUCUCCACGCUCAACGUGGAGGCGCCACGUGAGACUGCCCUGACUCGAGUCCGGUAGGGGAGCGUGGAAUUCCCGGUGUAGCGGUGAAAUGCGCAGAGAUCCGGAGGAACACCGAAGGCGAAGGCAGUGUCCUGGCGAGUGACUGACGCUGAGGUGCGAAAGCCAGGGGAGCGAACGGG